rnacentral:rRNA from 1 species
AUUGAACGCUGGCGGCAGGCUUAACACAUGCAAGUCGAGCGCGGAAGGGUAGCUUGCUACCUGACCUAGCGGCGGACGGGUGCGUAAUGCUUAGGAAUCUGCCUAUUAGUGGGGUACAACAUUCCGAAAGGAAUGCUAAUACCGCAUACGCCCUACGGGGGCAAGCAGGGGAUCUUCGGACCUUGCGCUAAUAGAUGAGCCUAAGGCAGAUUAGCUAGUUGGUGGGGUAAAGGCCUACCAAGGCGACGAUCUGUAGCGGGUCUGAGAGGAUGAUCCGCCACACUGGGACUGAGACACGGCCCAGACUCCUACGGGAGGCAGCAGUGGGGAAUAUUGGACAAUGGGCGAAAGCCUGAUCCAGCCAUGCCGCGUGUGUGAAGAAGGCCUUUUGGUUGUAAAGCACUUUAAGCGAGGAGGAGGCUACUUGGAUUAAUACUCUAGGAUAGUGGACGUUACUCGCAGAAUAAGCACCGGCUAACUCUGUGCCAGCAGCCGCCGUAAGAC